CUUACCGGGUCCGGACACACUGAGGAUUGACAGGUAUUAUAUAAUUGCUCUUCGGAGCUUUUAUUGUUAAAUAUGCUAGUCCUUUCAUGAUUAUGUGAUAGGUGGUGCAUGGCCGUUCUUAGUUCGUGGAGUGAUCUGUCUGCUUAAUUGCGUUUCACUAUAGGAUCUAUAUUCUUUAACGUGUGCAGUGCAUUGACCCCUUGUUUUUAA
rnacentral:rRNA from 1 species